rnacentral:miRNA from 1 species
GUUACCAUCUAAAGCCUAGUUUUCAUUUGGUCGUUAGUUGUCGCUGGCACGACAAGUGGCUGAUGUAAUAGAGUGUCAACAAAACUUUAUAAAACUCUGCAAUCAUUAAGACUGAUUUGCAUAUAAGACACAAAAAGACUAUUGAUAUUAGACUAUUUCACAUCUACCGCUUGUCGUGCCAGCGACAACUAACGACCAAAUGGAAACUAGGCUUAACAAGUGGAAGG